rnacentral:rRNA from 1 species
UGAGUAACACGUGGGCAAUCUGCCCUGCACUUCGGGAUAAGCCUGGGAAACUGGGUCUAAUACCGGAUAGGACCUUUAGGCGCAUGCCUUUUGGUGGAAAGCUUUUGCGGUGUGGGAUGGGCCCGCGGCCUAUCAGCUUGUUGGUGGGGUGAUGGCCUACCAAGGCGACGACGGGUAGCCGGCCUGAGAGGGUGUCCGGCCACACUGGGACUGAGAUACGGCCCAGACUCCUACGGGAGGCAGCAGUGGGGAAUAUUGCACAAUGGGCGCAAGCCUGAUGCAGCGACGCCGCGUGGGGGAUGACGGCCUUCGGGUUGUAAACCUCUUUCACCAUCGACGAAGGUCCGGGUUUUCUCGGAUUGACGGUAGGUGGAGAAGAAGCACCGGCCAACUACGUGCCAGCAGCCGCGGUAAUACGUAGGGUGCGAGCGUUGUCCGGAAUUACUGGGCGUAAAGAGCUCGUAGGUGGUUUGUCGCGUUGUUCGUGAAAUCUCACGGCUUAACUGUGAGCGUGCGGGCGAUACGGGCAGACUAGAGUACUGCAGGGGAGACUGGAAUUCCUGGUGUAGCGGUGGAAUGCGCAGAUAUCAGGAGGAACACCGGUGGCGAAGGCGGGUCUCUGGGCAGUAACUGACGCUGAGGAGCGAAAGCGUGGGGAGCGAACAGGAUUAGAUACCCUGGUAGUCCACGCCCGUAAACGGUGGGUACUAGGUGUGGGGUUUCCUUCCUUGGGAUCCCGUGCCGUAGCUAACGCAUUAAGUACCCCCGCCUGGGGGAGUACGGGCCGCAAAGGCUAAAACUCAAAGGAAUUUGACGGGGGGGCCCCGCACAA